rnacentral:lncRNA from 1 species
AAACCAAAAAGACAAUGCUGUUGGUGGCCUACCCAAAUCUCUUCCCAACUCUCCUACACUUCUCAAGACCUGACUUUGUUUUGGUGUUCAUCCUUUCAGAGUCUGCAUGUCCAGGGAUGGGGCUCCUCCCCAAUUCAGAGGGUGAUCUUGAUGACCCUAAAUCCAUCACAGUAAUUCCAUCUCCCCUGCUAGGGAUGUUUAGACAUAGGCGUGUGACAGGUCACAUAGACGUGAUAAUUCUGGCCAAUGAAAUAUGACGAGAACUGGGUUUCUUGCUCUUAAAACACACACACACGUACAUGCACAUACAUACACAUGGAGAAACUUCCUUCUGCCUUUGGACAGAUGUGAGAACACGUGAUGCCUGGAGCUGUUGCAGCUAUCUUGUUAGCAUGAGGGAGGAGCUGAUACCAAGGUAGGCAGAGCAGAAAGACAGAAACUCAGAUCCUUAAUAACUUUCUUGAAUGAACCAGUCCUGGAAUGCCCUACUUCUCAAGUUAAUGUUAUGCAAUAAAAUUCAUUUCCCUAUUGUUUAAGUUUCUGAAAGUGUGAAUUGGAGCUGAGUAUGCUGACUGAUGCAGGGUCAUCUGGUGGAGGAGGGGAGAGAAUGCUGCACUUGACAAUGACUCUUAAAAAGACAACCCCAAGUAAUCGAUGAAACUCUCUUUAAUAUCUGUGGAACAGAAGAACCACGUUGGGCCGGGACAGCAGAGGUAUCGCUCCCUAUGACCUCCCCGCCCCGAACCCCAGACUCUGGGACUCAUGGCAGCUUUCUUGCCCACGAUGGGAUGUGUCGGAGUUUAUUAUAAGCCCUGCUUUCCAGAAGGUGAUGAAUGAGCCCUAAAGAUGUGCACCUGGCCGACUGCAUGUGAAAACCAGAGCUUCUGCGGGGAGAGAUUUUUCUUUUUCUUAUGAUUGUAUUAAAUCUGGCUGUGUUUUCCUAUGCAGGAGUGCUGAACAUUUGCAGACAGUUAAGGCCUACUGUGGCAAGGAAAUUAUUUCUGUGGCUGCUGGCCUGUGCAAGCUUUGCAGCUGCAGAAGCAACCUCCCUAAAGGGGAAGUCGAGGGGGCGGGUGUGGGGAGAAGGGAGAGGCUGGAGCGCAGAGGGGUGAAUGGGGCACUGGAGCCUGGAGGGCAGCGGUGGAUGAUGUGUUCGGCUCACCAGGGGCGACGGUGCCCUGACUCGGGCUUGCCUCCAUCCUACUGCAGGGGUGACCUGAGGCGAGUGGGAGGAAAGCAGCCGGAGGUCCACCCAGUGUGCAUCUGGCAAAGGACUGGACCUUCUUGUCUGCACUUUGCCCUCCUUCAGGGUGAGACCGCACAAAAAUCUGACAGAGCUUCCACUCCGCUAGCAGAGUGAUGCCAGGAGACGAAAUGUGGCAGCGAAGCAUCAGAG